rnacentral:rRNA from 1 species
AACUUAGCAGAGAUGCUUGGUGCCUUCGGGAACUCUGAGACAGGUGCUGCAUGGCUGUCGUCAGCUCGUGUUGUGAAAUGUUGGGUUAAGUCCCGCAACGAGCGCAACCCUUAUCCUUUGUUGCCAGCGGUUAGGCCGGGAACUCAAAGGAGACUGCCAGUGAUAAACUGGAGGAAGGUGGGGAUGACGUCAAGUCAUCAUGGCCCUUACGAGUAGGGCUACACACGUGCUACAAUGGCGCAUACAAAGAGAAGCGACCUCGCGAGAGCAAGCGGACCUCAUAAAGUGCGUCGUAGUCCGGAUUGGAGUCUGCAACUCGACUCCAUGAAGUCGGAAUCGCUAGUAAUCGUGGAUCAGAAUGCCACGGUGAAUACGUUCCCGGGCCUUGUACACACCGCCCGUCACACCAUGGGAGUGGGUUGCAAAAGAAGUAGGUAGCUUAACCUUCGGGAGGGCGCUUACCACUUUGUGAUUCAUGACUGGGGUGAAGUCGUAACAAGGUAGGCGUAGUGCU